rnacentral:rRNA from 1 species
GACGAGAAAUAACAAUACAGGGCAUUUUAUGCUCUGUAAUUGGAAUGAUGGGAAUCCAAACCCCUUUCAGAGUAACAAUUGGAGGGCAAGUCUGGUGCCAGCAGCCGCGGUAAUUCCAGCUCCAAUAGCGUAUAUUAGAGUUGUUGCAGUUAAAAAGCUCGUAGUUGGAUUUCUGUCGUGGUCUUCCGGUGCCGCCCGUACGGGUGCGCACUUGGUUUGCCCUCGGCAUUCUUCCGGUUUCCUUCCCCGCUUCAUUGCGUGGUUGGAUUUUCCGGAACUUUUACUUUGAGAAAAAUAGAGUGUUUCAAGCAGGCUUUCGCCUUGAAUACUUCAGCAUGGAAUAAUAAAAUAGGACUUUGGUUCUAUUUUGUUGGUUUCUAGGACUAAAGUAAUGAUUAAUAGGGACAGUUGGGGGCAUUCGUAUUUAACUGUCAGAGGUGAAAUUCUUAGAUUUGUUAAAGACGAACUACUGCGAAAGCAUUUGCCAAGGAUGUUUUCAUUAAUCAAGAACGACAGUAGGGGGUU